UACGAAGGGUGCAAGCGUUGCUCGGAAUUACUGGGCGUAAAGUGUGCGUAGGUGGUGAUUUAAGUCCGUUGUGAAAGCCCUGGGCUCAACCUGGGAAUUGCAGUGGAUACUGGGUCACUAGAAUGUGGUAGAGGGUAGCGGAAUUCCUGGUGUAGCAGUGAAAUGCGUAGAGAUUAGGAGGAACAUCCGUGGCGAAGGCGGCUACCUGGACCAACAUUGACACUGAGGCACGAAAGCGUGGGGAGCAAACAGG
rnacentral:rRNA from 1 species